UACGGAAGGUCCGGGCGUUAUCCGGAUUUAUUGGGUUUAAAGGGAGCGCAGGCGGCCUUUUAAGCGUGACGUGAAAUGUGGAUGCUCAACAUCUGAACUGCGUCGCGAACUGGAGGGCUUGAGUGGGUACGACGCCGGCGGAAUUCGUGGUGUAGCGGUGAAAUGCUUAGAUAUCACGAAGAACCCCGAUUGCGAAGGCAGCCGGCGAGUCCUCAACUGACGCUAAAGCUCGAAAGUGCGGGUAUCGAAC
rnacentral:rRNA from 1 species